UCGGGAAUAUUGCGCAAUGGAGGAAACUCUGACGCAGUGACGCCGCGUGCAGGAAGAAGGUUUUCGGAUUGUAAACUGCUUUAGACAGGGAAGAAAAAAGACAGUACCUGUAGAAUAAGCUCCGGCUAACUACGUGCCAGCAGCCGCGGUAAUACGUAGGGAGCAAGCGUUAUCCGGAUUUAUUGGGUGUAAAGGGUGCGUAGACGGAGAAGCAAGUUAGUUGUGAAAUCCCUCGGCUUAACUGAGGAACUGCAACUAAAACUACUUCCCUUGAGUACUGGAGAGGAAAGUGGAAUUCCUAGU
rnacentral:rRNA from 1 species